AGCAGCCGCGGUAAUUCCAGCUCCAAUAGCGUAUAUUAAAGUUGUUGCAGUUAAAAAGCUCGUAGUUGAAUUUCGGGGUUAGUAGGUUGGUCAUGCCUCCGGUAUGUACUGAUCCCACUGAUUCCUCCUUCCUUAUGAACCGUAAUGCCAUUAAUUUGGUGUUGCGGGGAAUUUGGACUGUUACUAUGAAAAAUUAGAGUGUUUAAAGCAAGCUAACGCUUGAAUACAUUAGCAUGGAAUAAUGAAAUAGGACGUUCGAUCUUAUUUUGUUGGUUUCUAGGAUUGACGUAAUGAUUAAUAGGGAUAGUUGGGGGCAUUAGUAUUCAAUUGUCAGAGGUGAAAUUCUUGGAUUUAUUGAAGACUAACUACUGCGAAAGCAUUUGCCAAGGAUGUUUUCAUUAAUCAAGAACGAAAGUUAGGGGAUCGAAGACGAUCAGAUACCGUCGUAGUCUU
rnacentral:sRNA from 1 species